GAUGAACGCUGGCGGCGUGCUUAACACAUGCAAGUCGAACGAUGAAGCCCAGCUUGCUGGGUGGAUUAGUGGCGAACGGGUGAGUAACACGUGAGUAACCUGCCCUUAACUCUGGGAUAAGCCUGGGAAACUGGGUCUAAUACCGGAUAGGAGCGCCUACCGCAUGGUGGGUGUUGGAAAGAUUUAUCGGUUUUGGAUGGACUCGCGGCCUAUCAGCUUGUUGGUGAGGUAAUGGCUCACCAAGGCGACGACGGGUAGCCGGCCUGAGAGGGUGACCGGCCAAACUGGGACUGAGACACGGCCCAGACUCCUACGGGAGGCAGCAGUGGGGAAUAUUGCACAAUGGGAGAAAGCCUGAUGCAGCGACGCCGCGUGAGGGAUGACGGCCUUCGGGUUGUAAACCUCUUUCAGUAGGGAAGAAGCGAAAGUGACGGUACCUGCAGAAGAAGCACCGGCUAACUACGUG
rnacentral:rRNA from 1 species